UUUGGACAAUGGGGGCAACCCUGAUCCAGCCAUCCCGCGUGCGCGAUGAAGGCCUUCGGGCUGUAAAGCACUUUUGGCAGGGAAGAAAAGGCUCUGGCUAAUACCUGGAGCUGCUGACGGUACAUGCAGAAUAAGCACCGGCUAACUACGUACCAGCAGCCGCGGGACGACGUAGGGUGAAAGCGUUAAUCGGAAUUACUGGGUGUAAAGCGUGCGCAGGCGGUUCGGCAAGAAGGAUGUGAAAUCCCAGGGCUUAACCUUGGAACUGCAUUCUUAACUGCCGGGCUAGAGUAUGUCAGAGGGGGGUAGAAUUCCGCGUGUAGCAGUGAAAUGCGUAGAGAUGCGGAGGAAUACCGAUGGCGAAGGCAGCCCCCUGGGAUAAUACUGACGCUCAUGCACGAAAGCGUGGGGAGCAAAC
rnacentral:rRNA from 1 species